rnacentral:hammerhead_ribozyme from 1 species
AUCUAGAUGAUAAGUCCAAAAUAAGAUGAAAUGCGCGUCUUGGAU